rnacentral:rRNA from 1 species
CAGUAGCCGCGGGAAUACCAGCACCUCGAGUGGUCAGGAGGUUUAUUGGGCCUAAAGCAUCCGUAGCCGGUUGCAUAAGUUUUCGGUUAAAUCUAUGCGCUUAACGUAUAGGCCGCCGAAAAUACUGUGCAGCUAGGGAGUGGGAGAGGUACACGGUACUCGAUAGGAAGGGGUAAAAUCCUUUGAUCUAUUGAUGACCACCUGUGGCGAAGGCGGUGUACCAGAACACGUUCGACGGUGAGGGAUGAAAGCUGGGGGAGCAAACAGGAUUAGAUACCCGUGUAGUCCCUGUCUCUUAUAC